AACGGGAAAAAGCUUAUUGUGGUUUAAUGUACCUAAACAACAAUCAAUGAUCAACAGAUAUCUCUCUCAUAUUGGUCCUCAUAACCACUGAAAACUGUCAAAAAAUCUAACAAAAAGUCCAAUUAUUAUGGACGUUAUCUGACAUAAAGCUUUUCUGCUUCAAAG